ACAACCGGUAGCGAUGGAUCCCUUGGCACGUCAUUCGAUGAAGACCGUUGCAAAUUGCGAUAAAGUGAUGUGAUGCGCAAGUCCACCACUUAUACGUGAAUCAUCGAGUUGUUGAACGCAUUGCACCGCGCCCUAAACCGGCUGCGGUAUGCCCCUUUGAGCGUCAUUGUAUCCCUUCGGGAGUCCUUUUCCAAAGGACCCGAGUUCAGAGUCCUCGGUCCUCUUCUGGAUCGUGUUCUCUUAGAUGCGUCGCACCGAUCGCCUGAUGGGUCCUCUAAUGCCUAAGCGUGGAGUUCCUUCAGAGUCCGAGACGUGCUUGACCGGGUGUUGAGCUCGCGUCGCCAAGUCUGCCUUCACCGGCAGGACUACAACACAUGACCUCAUUGGGGUAGGACAACCCGCUAGACUUAAGCAUAUUAAUCAGCGGAGGAAAAGAAACUAACCAGGAUCCC
rnacentral:rRNA from 1 species